CGGAGGGUGCAAGCGUUAUCCGGAUUCACUGGGUUUAAAGGGUGUGUAGGCGGGCUGUUAAGUCAGUGGUGAAAUCUCCAGGCUCAACCUGGAAACUGCCAUUGAUACUAUCAGUCUUGAAUACUGUUGAGGUAGGCGGAAUAAGUCAUGUAGCGGUGAAAUGCAUAGAUAUGACUUAGAACACCAAUUGCGAAGGCAGCUUACUAAACAGUUAUUGACGCUGAGGCACGAAAGCGUGGGGAUCAAACAGGAUUAGAUACCCUGGUAGUCCACGCCCUAAACGAUGAUUACUCGACAUACGUGAUACACAAUGUGUGUCUGAGCGAAAGCAUUAAGUAAUCCACCUGGGAAGUACGUCCGCAAGGAUG
rnacentral:rRNA from 1 species